GUCUACAGCCAUGCCACCCUGAACACACACGCCUGAUCUCGUCUGAUCUUGGAAGCUAAGCAGGGUCGGACCUGGUUAGUACUUGGAUGGGAGACCACCUAUGAAGACCAGGUGCUGUAGGCA
rnacentral:rRNA from 1 species